ensembl:misc_RNA 7SK 7SK RNA
GGAUGUGAGGGCGAUCUGGCUGCGACAUCUGUCACCCCAUUGAUUGCCAAGGUUGAUUCGGCUGAUCUGGCUGCUGGCUAGGCGGGUGUCCCCUUCCUCCCUCACCGCUCCAUGUGCGUCCCUCCCGAAGCUGCGCGCUUGGUCGAAGAGGACGACCUUCCCCGAUAGAGGACCGUUCUUCGGUCAAGGGUAUACGAGUAGCUGCACUCCCCUGCUAGAACCUCCAAACAAGCUCUCAAGGUCCUAUACUACUAUUUUUCAAUUUUAAGUCUUAAUCUUCUUUAUCAUUUGAAGGCAGAAAUUGUAAUUU